CAGGUAUAGAUAAGCUGUGCCAUACAAAGGCCCCAGUGGGCUUAUCCUGUCUUUAAAAAUAACUCCAAAGUACUGCAUCAAAGCCUUUGCAGAAAAUCCAUAUGCACUCCCAGGGCUCUGACCCAUAAAACAUUCUUACCAGGGACCUGGAUGAGGCCAUAUACUGUGCGAUGACCAUGGGCCAAUGGAAAUCUUUUGAAAACUUGCUGGAAGGUCCACUGUGUAACCUACUUUGUUGUUUUUUAAUCUGGAUAAAGGACAUUUCAGCCCGUAGCACCCAGGAAGGGUAUUAUGUGAAUAAAUGAGGUGUUCUCUUUCAUGACUAAUUUCUGUGCUUCUAGAUAAAUUUCCCUAAUGAGGAGUUCUCUAUUGAAAUUUUCCUUCUUCCCUUCCUUAGUCCCUCUUCUCUCCCACAAAUUGUAAGACAUGUUUCAUACCCUAGAAAAGCUCACAGUCUAAUGAGUGAGAGAAGACAUUUAUUCCUUCAUGGAGGUCUGAAAUAUCAUAGCAUUUCCAGUAGUACAAAUAGUUUAGAAGGCUCAAGUCCAAGUCGAGAAUAGACACAUCUUACUCCAGCGAACAAGGCAGAAAGUUAAAUGCCAUGAGAGUGGGAUGAACAAUUGGGACAGGGUCCUUGAAGGAGAAGAAAUUACUUCCAAUAGGGGAUAUAGGGGAAAACUUAAUACAAAAGGUGGCCUUUCCCUGGGUCUUUUAGGAGGCAUAGGGUUUUGGCAGGUAAAGAUGGCAAGAGGUGAUGAUCUAUCCUAGAUCAGAGGUUUUCUUUCUCUUUUUUUUUUUUUUUUUUUUUUUUUUUGAGAUGGAGUCUUGCUCUUGUCACCCAGGCUGGAGUGCAGUGGUGUGAUCUCGGCUCUGCAACCUCUGCCUCCUGGGUUCAAAUGAUUCUCCUGCUUCAGCCUCCCGAGUAGCUGGGAUUACAGGCACCUGCCACCACACCCGGCUAAUUUUUUGUAUUUUUAGUAGUUGCAUUUUAGUGGUUUCACCAUGUUGGGCAGGCUGGUCUCGAACUCCUGACCUCAGGAGUUCUGCCCACCUCAGCCUCCCAAAGUGCUGGGAUUACAGGUGUGUGCCACUGCGCCUGGCAGAUUGGAGGUUUUCAAACUGCAAUCCCUGGUCCUGCAGCAUCAGCAACACUUAGAAAUACAAAAGCCAGGGUCUUACCCUUGACCUGCUGAAUCAGAAAUGAGGCUUAGCAUGCUUUGUUUAGCAUCCCAGUGAUUCUGAUUCAUACUUUAUUGGAGAAUCAAUAAUCUAGAUUUAAGAUCCUUAGCCUGGGGUCUGUGAAUGUGGAUAGGAAAAAAAUACAUCUUUAUUUUCCCUAAUGUCUAACUGAAAUUUAGCAUUUCCUUCCAUUACAGAUGUAGGCCAUAAAUUGCCACGAUAAUUAUUAGGACCAAUGCCAUAUCAUGUUAUUAAAUGUAUUAAUAAAGAAGAAUGCAUACAACAUAGCAGAUUUUUAAAGAUUUUUAUAACUGUAUUUCAAUAUAAUUGGUUUCUUUGUAAUUUCGUGUAUCAUUUUAUACAUUAAAAACAUUGUGAGAAAGUGUAUGCUUUGCAGGCUGCCAAUGAAAUCUCAUCUUUUAUCAUACCAAAAAUGUGAAGAACCCCUAGUCUAGAAGGAUUCCAGACAAAGAAAACUCGGAGCAAAGGCAAGAAAAUACAUGGCCAGCCAAGUAUUCCAUUUUGCGUAAAACUGAGGUAAAGCAAGGAAAUGCCGGAAGAGAAAAAAGAAAAGGCUGAACCUGAUUGUCAGAACUGGACUUCUUCCAGCAGACUCUGGGGAGCUACUUAAUCAGGACUUUUUAAAAAGAGGGAGCAAGAGGCAGAGCCAACGAGACACAACCAGCUCAGGGUUUUCAAAGAAUUCCCUAGCAAAGGUAAGAAGGAAGGCCUGGAAUAGAAAGAAACAGAAGGUGAGAGACCAAGCAGGAGAUGAGAUUUCUAAUCCAGGCUUAUCUAAUAGCCCAAAGUGAAGAAAGAACUGACUAUGAAAAUGGGACGAAUAUGAGAGUGCUGUGAAAAUUCAGCAGUGACUAAAACAGAAGAAUCAAACAUGACUCCAAAGUCUGAAGAGAAGGCGACUGGGACAAGAGUCAUACUAAGAAAGAAUUAAGGAUGCCAAGUGGAGCAAGUCUGGCAAAGGAAAGUGCUGAGUUGCCUACAGGAUAUCCGGGUGAAAACAUCCAGCAGUUAUUUAUCCGCCUGGGACAGUACUGACCUUUAAGACUUACUGUAUCUCCUGAAUAGCCUAUUUGGACUUCAUCAAGAGCUUUUCCCAAACAGGGAUUUUUAUCUUGCGGGCCCAUGGACUCAUGGGGAGUCCCAUGAACCUCCCAAAUUAUUAAAGAAAAUUUUAUUUGUGUUCAUGGACAUUUGGGGAGAGGUAUGUACUUUCAUUACAAACUCAAGGAGCACGAAACUCCCUUUUCCCUCACAAAAAUGUUAAUACUCUCCAUUCAUCCUUCUAAACACUCCAAGCAAGGUAAGCCCUCUUGUCUGAAAAUUUGGGGAGGGAGCAUGAGUCUCAGAACAAACAGAAAAUGCCUCAGGAACAAAGCAGCAGCAGCAGUUACAGUCAUGCGUGGAUGGUUCUGAGUCAGGAGAAGCUCACUGCACAGUCACCAGAUGAGGAAGGCA
rnacentral:lncRNA from 1 species